rnacentral:rRNA from 1 species
UAACACGUGGGUAACCUGCCUUAUAGUGGGGGAUAGCCUUUCGAAAGGAAGAUUAAUACCGCAUAAGAUUGUAGUAUCGCAUGAUAUAGCAAUUAAAGGAGCAAUUCGCUAUAAGACGGACCCGCGUCGCAUUAGCUAGUUGGUGAGGUAAUGGCUCACCAAGGCGACGAUGCGUAGCCGACCUGAGAGGGUGAUCGGCCACAUUGGGACUGAGACACGGCCCAGACUCCUACGGGAGGCAGCAUG